rnacentral:rRNA from 1 species
AUUGAACGCUGGCGGCAGGCUUAACACAUGCAAGUCGAGCGGGGUGAGGUGCUUCGGUACUGAUCCUAGCGGCGGACGGGUGAGUAAUGCUUAGGAAUCUGCCUAUUAGUGGGGGACAACAUUCCGAAAGGAAUGCUAAUACCGCAUACGUCCUACGGGAGAAAGCAGGGGAUCUUCGGACCUUGCGCUAAUAGAUGAGCCUAAGUCGGAUUAGCUAGUUGGUGGGGUAAAGGCCUACCAAGGCGACGAUCUGUAGCGGGUCUGAGAGGAUGAUCCGCCACACUGGGACUGAGACACGGCCCAGACUCCUACGGGAGGCAGCAGUGGGGAAUAUUGGACAAUGGGCGGAAGCCUGAUCCAGCCAUGCCGUGUGUGUGAAGAAGGCCUUUUGGUUGUAAAGCACUUUAAGCGAGGAGGAGGCUACCUAGAUUAAUACUCUGGGAUAGUGGACGUUACUCGCAGAAUAAGCACCGGCUAACUCUGUGCCAGCCGCCGCUGUAAGAC